GGGUAUGGGGGACUUUUGGUAUAGCAUUGGAAAUGUAAAUGAGCUAAAUACCUAAUAAAAAUGGAAAAUAAAAUAAAAUAAAAUAAAACUGUAGUUUGAUAACCAGAAAAAAAAGCUUUUUUUUCUGAAACAGUAAUGAACGUACUGAGAAUUAGCAAAAACGUAUUACACAACAGCUUAAAAAAAAAACCAACCCAAAACAAAAACAAACAAAACACCCCUACACAUAUCAACAGAAUGCAGAAUUCUACCUAACUAGAGAGGUGAAAUUCCUAUACAUUAAAAUGUCUAAGACACCAAAUAAAGAAUUUGCUUAUGGCAAAGUUACUAUUGUAAAAGUGGUCAUGUUAUUAAGAGGAGUCUACAGAUUUUAUAUAAUCUCCUUCAAGGUUCCUUUGAUGUUCUUCAGAGAAUGAGAAAACAGUACUGAAAUUCACAUGGAAGUACAGAAGACCCACUACAAACAAACAAACAACUACCAAGGCAUGGUUAAGCAGAAAGAACAAUGUAGGGUUAUAACAAUACCUGGCAUCAAAUUAUAUUAUAGAUCCCUAAGUGAUAAAACAGCAUGGUAUUGACAGAAAAAGCAAUAUAUAGAUCAAUGGAAUAUAAUAAGAGACUCAGAAAUAAAACUAUAUUCCAUAGUCAUUUAGUUAUUUUACAAAGAUAUAAAAUGCAUACAUCUAGAAAAGAACAGCCUCUUUAACAAUUGGUGCUGAUAAACUGGAUAUCCACAUAGAAGACAGAUUUCUCCUGUCUCUCACCCAACAUAGCAAUCAGUUCAAAGUGGAUAAAAGAUGUUGAUAUAACUGAUAGGGAAAUAUGUAGAUCUACGUAUUUAUAGCUUUUCUAAAAAGAACUGGAGUAGCAAAAAUAUACAACCAAGACUUUGCAAAUGGGAGUGGAAAUAAGAUUACAAGAAAUGAGCAAAGGAAACAAUUCCCAGAAUGAAGAGGUAGCUCUCAGAGAGAGAGAGAGAGAGAAUCUUCACAUACAUAAAGAGGGUGUUAAUUUUUAGACUUCAUUAAAUAACUGCAAAACUUAAAAGGCAAACAACAAAAAAGCACCACAAAACAAAACCAUCCAGAUCUUCUAAAUGGAUGUCAGUAAAUGGGCAAAUUGCCUGAAGAAGUUUCCAAAAGAAGGAAACUGAAUGGCUAAUACAUAUUUUAAAGUAUGUUCACCAUCCUUAUUUACAUCAGGGAAAUAAGUAUAAAUUAACACCACACUGAGAAUUGAUCUCUGUUGCGUGAAAUAUGU
rnacentral:lncRNA from 1 species